rnacentral:SRP_RNA from 1 species
GCUGGCCGCGGUGGCGUGUGCCUAUAGUCCCAGCUACUCGGGAGGCUGAGGUGGGAGGAUCUCUUGUGUCCAGGAGUUCUGGGCUGUAGUGCACUAUGACGAUCAGGUGUCCGCACUAAGUUGGGCAUCAAUAUGGUGACAUCCUGGGAGCUGGGGACCACCUGGUUGCCUAAGGAGGGCUGAACCGGCCCAGGUCAGAAACGGAGCAGGUCAAAACUUCCAUGCUGAUCAGUAGUGGGAUCGUGCCUGUGAAUAGCCACGACACUCCAGCCUGGGCAACAUAGCGAGACCCCAUCUCA